CCAAACAUGUAGACUUACCUCUACCUUUAUUA
rnacentral:tRNA from 1 species